AUUGAACGCUGGCGGUAUGCUUAACACAUGCAAGUCGAACGGUAGCAGGCCUUCGGGCGCUGACGAGUGGCGGACGGGUGCGUAACGCGUAGGAAUCUACCUGUUAGUGGGGGACAACUUAGGGAAACUUAAGCUAAUACCGCAUACGCCCCACGGGGGAAAGCGGGGGACUUUCGGGCCUCGCGCUAACAGAUGAGCCUGCGUUGGAUUAGCUAGUUGGUGGGGUAAAGGCCUACCAAGGCGACGAUCCCUAGCUGGUCUGAGAGGACGAUCAGCCACACUGGGACUGAGACACGGCCCAGACUCCUACGGGAGGCAG
rnacentral:rRNA from 1 species